UGUGUGUUUGCUUCACCUAGCAAACGAGGGAAGGAGAACGCCCUUGAUCAGAGCGAAGAUGUGAAGUACUCGGGACACAGCAAAGCAGCACAAGUUGAUGGAAACUUGUAAUGCAGCAGAGAUGGUGUCGCAGGAUCAAGGAAUGAUGCCAAGUGAAGGAGCAAGGGCAAGACUGCAAGAGGGUGUCGCAAGGUCAAGGAAUGCCGCAUGGAGAGCAGAGGUUGAUCUUGAGCUUCCCCUACCUCAGGGCACCAUUAGCUGCUGAGGAUGUAGGAAAUGCUCUCCAAUUUUUAUUCAGUGAAACAUUUAGAGAGUUUACUAAAAUUGGUAAGUCCCAAGCUGAAUCUGUUAUUCGAGGACUAUCGCGUGGAGGAAGUGGACGGCCUGGACAGUUUGUGAUGGGAGUGACUUACUUGUGUGCACUCUGUGGCUCUGCCUAUCCGGCAUGAAUAUGAUUCUCCUGCAUCAAAAAAGGUAGACACAGCGCGGAUACGUUGAAGAGUGUGGGUUCGUUGCGUGCUGCCUCAUGCCUGUGCUUGCUUGAAUACUCGUACAUUACGUUUACUAAACUAGGCUGCGUAGCUUGCUGUUGGGGCUACAGAUUUCCCCCGGGAAGGAUACAUCAUCCUGGUCAUGGAUACUGCACAAGGUAAAAAAACAUGAAGCGAGAAAUUGGGUCGCUUUGUCGCAAUCCCCUACUCAGAUGUAUGUUGCUGCCCAUGAAUCAGCACCGGAUAUGACUAAUAAUACGAAGCCCGUUAUUUGGUGCACUAGGAGGACACUGGGCUUUGCACUCAUCACUUGCUUGGAGUUUCUUCAUAGAAUAAUUGUUUCAGUUGACCUGUGUUAGGAUAUGACAUUAUUAUUGAGCUUUGAUUAAAUACGAAGGGGAGUGCUUGCAACUUCUCACUUACCUUCUCAUUUUAAUCUUUUCACUUUUACUCAUGUUACACGUAUUCCACUAGCAUGUAAAACUAAAAAUUUAUGAAAAAUGCUAGGGAGACUGGUUUUGAAUCA